AGACCAGUUCCACACAUUUGUGGAAAUCUCUUGUAAUGAUAUUAAGCCUCAUUGUUGUAUUCACAUGCUGUGCUGUUGAGGCUGUGGUGAUAAUGUUUAAUGUUCAUUGAGAACUUACUUUGUGCCAGGCACAAUACAAGGCACUGAAGAUGCAAAAAUAAGGAAAACAAAUCUUUGCCUCAGAGAAGCUCACAAAUCCUUGUCUGAAGUCACUCUUAUUUUUCAGCUCUUCAGACAAUUCUACACACUUCUGCCAAGAUGAUAUUUCUAAAACAUCUACCGGAGAAUAUUGCUCCCUGCUCAGACUCUUUCAUCUUUCUAUCAUGUACGGGAUAAAAUCUGAAAUCCUUAGCAUGAAACAACUACUCAUUCAACCCCAUUUACUUUGGAACCCUGAGCCACUGGCCAUUCUCUGAACGUCUCCCCCAUCCUCUCACUUCCAAAUCUUUAAUCCUGCUGUUUUAUUUUGUAUUCUAAGCACCUAUUGAAACCCUAUUUAUUCUGUAAGGUCCUCUUCAAAUGUUUUCUCCUCCUACUGGCAUUCUUAGAAUAGUUUAUCCCACUUUGGGAAAUUUUCAUGCUUUGCGUUACAAUUGUUUUGUUCAUGUCUACCUCCCCCACCAGACUGUAAUGUUCUUGAGGUCAUGGACCAUGGACUAUGUCUUAAUUAUCUUUAUAUACUUUGUAACUAGCUCAGUGCCUUAUCUAGAGUAAACUCUGAAAUGAAUAUUUAGUUUAAAUCACUUAAAAUCUGAUACUUGGUCGUUUUGGAGUAACAGCUAUCAUAUAUAUAUAUAUAUUUUUUUUUUGCCAUUUUUCUGUUACAUGUAGGUUUUCAGUGUUUUUGCAGAAGCACUAAUGUGUAUGAAAUAUUACAUGCACACACACACAUACACAUCAGCCAAAGUGAACGUGGCAUGAAUAUGGCAGAUAAUCAGCUUGAGCCAGAAUUGCAGAUUGACCUGAACCUGCUCAUGCAGACAAUCUGGAUAUAUGGAAUGAAAUAAUAUUGCACAUUGUGUUGCAUAAGUACCUUGUGGUUGCUAAUUUAUGGGUGUAGCCUCACAUACUAUCUUUUGAUCAGUAAGGGACUAUUUGACGUUAAUAGAUUGAAAGCAGACAUUUCACCA
rnacentral:lncRNA from 1 species